CAGCAGCCGCGGGAACACGGAGGGUGCAAGCGUUAAUCGGAAUUACUGGGCGUAAAGCGCACGCAGGCGGUCUGACAAGUCAGAUGUGAAAUCCCCGGGCUUAACCUGGGAACUGCAUUUGAAACUGUCAGGCUGGAGUCUUGUAGAGGGGGGUAGAAUUCCAGGUGUAGCGGUGAAAUGCGUAGAGAUCUGGAGGAAUACCGGUGGCGAAGGCGGCCCCCUGGACAAAGACUGACGCUCAGGUGCGAAAGCGUGGGGAGCAAACAGGAUUAGAUACCCCGGUAGUCCCUGUCUCUUAUAC
rnacentral:rRNA from 1 species